AUGAGGGAAACAGAGACCCGGAGAGAGGAGCGCGGGGAGAAGAGAGCCCACGGUGUUCCCAGCCCUUCUACCAAUUUUCCUCCGCGAGCUGGCAUCUCUGUUGGAGUCAGAAACCAUCGUUUUUCUAUCACUGUUUGUGAAGAUGUGCUGAAUACCAACCGAAGACCAGGGCGCUCUGGGGAGGGCACCGGGCGGGCUCUAGCUUUGCAAGGGUAUGAUGUGAUUGCUCAAGCUCAGUCAGGUACUGGCAAGACAGCCACAUUUGCUAUUUCCAUCCUGCAACAGUUGGAGAUUGAGUUCAAGGAGACCCAAGCAUCAGUAUUGGCCCCCACCAGAGAGCUGGCUCAACAGAUCCAAAAGGUAAUUCUGGCACUUGGAGACUAUAUGGGAGCAACUUGUCAUGCCUGCAUUGGUGGAACAAAUGUUCCAAAUGAAAUGCAAAAACUGCAGGCUGAAGCACCACAUAUUGUUGUUGGUACACCGGGAGAGUGUUUGAUAUGUUAAACAGAAGACAUCUUUCUCCAAAAUUGAUCAAAAUGUUUGUUUUGGAUGAAGCAGAUGAAAUGUUGAGCCAUGGGUUUAAGGAUCAAAUCUAUGAGAUUUUCCAAAAACUAAACACAAGUAUUCAGGUUGUGUUGCUUUCUGCCACAAUGCCCAACGGAUGUGUUGGAAGUGACCAAAAAAUUUAUGAGAGAUCCAGUUUGAAUUCUGGUGAAAAAGGAAGAAUUGACCCUUGAAGGAAUCAAACAGUUUUAUAUUAAUGUUGAGAGAGAGGAAUGGAAGUUGGAUACACUUUGUGACUUGUACAAGACACUGACCAUUAUGCAGGCUGUUAUUUUUCUCAAUACGAGGCACAAGGUGGACUGGCUGGCUGAGAAAAUGCAUGCCAGAGACUUCACAGUUUCUGCUCUGCAUGGUGACGUGGACCAGAAGGAGAGAGAUGUUAUCAUGAGGAAAUUCCAGUCAGGGUCAAGUCAUGUUCUGAUCACUACUGACUUGUUGGGGAAGGUCGAAGAAUUGACCCUUGAAGGAAUCAAACAGUUUUAUAUUAAUGUUGAGAGAGAGGAAUGGAAGUUGGAUACACUUUGUGACUUGUACAAGACACUGACCAUUAUGCAGGCUGUUAUUUUUCUCAAUACGAGGCACAAGGUGGACUGGCUGGCUGAGAAAAUGCAUGCCAGAGACUUCACAGUUUCUGCUCUGCAUGGUGACGUGGACCAGAAGGAGAGAGAUGUUAUCAUGAGGAAAUUCCAGUCAGGGUCAAGUCAUGUUCUGAUCACUACUGACUUGUUGGUUCGUGGGAAUGAUGUGCAACAAGUGUCUUUGGUUAUAAAUUAUGAUCUACCUACCAAUCGUGAAAACUAUUUUCACAGGGCGAGUCGACUUGGCAGAGGGGGUCGAUUUGGGAGGAAAGGUGUGGCUAUAAACUUUGUUACUGAAGAAGACAAGAGGAUUCUUCAUGACAUUGAGACUUUCUACAAUACUACAGUGGAGGGGAUGCCCAUGAAUGUGGCUGACCUUAUUUAAUUCCUGGGAUGAGAGUUUUGGAUGCAGUGCUCGCUGUUGCUUAAUAGGCAAUCACAACGUGCAUUGUGCUUCUUUCUUCGGGAAUAUUUGAAUCUUGUCUCAAUGCUCAUAACGGAUCAGAAAUACAGAUUUUGAUAGCAAAGCAACAUUAGUCGCGAGCUCUUGGGAGGAAAAUCAUUGCCUUUAUCCUCUUUAGAGUUAGACUGUUGGAGUGGGUAUAAAAGAUGGGGUCUGUAAAAUCUUUCUUUCUUAGAAAUUUAUUUCCUAGUUCUGUAGAAAUGGUUGUAUUAGAUGUUCUCU